GCAGUGUGUUCAUAUGCCCAAAUCCCUCGUCUCCCCAAAAUUGAGCUAAAUACAACGAAGCAUGUGAGUGCCUCUUCUUAUCUUGUAUUUGUGGCUACCAGGGUACAUUGUUAAGCAAGUACGAGCUAGGCAUCUCCUUUUGAGCUGAAACUAGGUCAAGAUGAUCACCUUAGUGGUUUGUCAAGCUCACGCAAAGCUCAGCAUCAUUCACCAGUUGUGUCUCCCCCAGAAAACAACAAACAUCUUGUUGUUUUGUUAUCUUGAAGCUUUCUGUGGUCACAUCUUGUGACUCUGUGCUUAUUGCUUUACUUUCUAGAACUCUAUGUUGAAUGAUCAAUUGACAUGAUUUUGCGUGUCAGAGCAUAUGUCACUGUCGUGGUCACCGGUCACGCGUCUGGCAUGCCAAUGAUGCGCUGUGGCGAAUUGGGUCCGCUGUUCUCGUCCGUUCCCUUGAGCUAUCGCCACCUUGCUUCCUCUCCUCGUCGCCCUCAUCCUGGAUCCCUCUUCCCCUCCGUAUUCUUCCUCUUGGGACCGUCCCCGUCGAGCAAUAGCCGCACACGGUGACGUUCGUCGCCUCCGUCCUCCAUGGCGUGUUGCCCUCGUCACCAGAGCUCUCCCUUGCGCUUUAAGUUGGUGCCCCAAGCUCCGUGGCAUCUCAUCGACCCCUGCAGCCCCUCCCCAUGCCCUUAGGAGCUCCCAUUGCCGUCAUGGCCGCUGACAGCCUUCAUCUAAAUUGGGGCAAUGGCGGCUCCCCCUCUCUCCUAACCUCGCCAUGGCUUCAACCUUGCCUCACCGAAGUUUCCCCGAUCCGCAGCACCUCCUCUCCGCUGCUGAGCCUCGCCCCCAUGGUCGCCCAAAUCGGUCGUCCGCCAUGGCCGAAGGGGAGCCUGCCUCGGCCAUCCUCGGUGAGCGUGCCUGGCCGAGGCAGGUGCGACGUCUCCUCCCAAGUCCACUGGUGGUCCCAACUGCACUAGGGACCGCGCGGAUAAGUGGAAGUGUACUUCUGCAGAAUUAGUCUGUGAUCUUUAAUCGUCCAUAUCUUCGCUAUCGUAACUCCGAUCCAGGUGAUUCCAAAGAACUCAUUUUUGUCUCGUUGAGCCCGUUACGAUGGUUCCAUUUUUAUUAUGUUGUCACAUACUGAAAAUGACCAUUUUGUCCUAGCCCUAGUUUAGCCCCCUCCGGGAGAGAAUCUUUUCUGGCGAAUCAUUUCGUGAGUUCCUCACACUUCUUUCCAAUGGUUUCAUCAUCUCCAGGCAAGCCACGAAAACCACUUGCAUCAUGGCCUUGCAGUAGCCAUGGUUUUCACUUGAAUAUUUUAUAAUUAUUUGCUCGAUUACAACUGUUAUUCAUGUCUCAAUUAUGCUUGUGAAUCCAUGCUCAUCAUCAUGUUAUGCUCUUAUGCACCUCUUAGUUAUGUAAUUACUUGUUAGUAUCAUUAUCAUAUGUCAUGCUGGUUAUUAAUACGUGAUGGUGAUAGUAGUGUUCAUCUGAUGCAUGAUGUUCGUCAUGCACGACCAUCGCUAUGCGAUGUUCAUGUGCAUCAGUAGACUAAGUGCCUUAUUAUUGUUGAUGCUAAUGCUUCACAUGUCAAAUGGUUAUACUUCCCAUCCAUGUUUAUGUCGAUAUCAUGCUCAUAUGCAUUGUCAUUUCAUCCUCUUAUUUUAUCAGACUCGGCUCAUUAAUUUUCAAGUUUAACCGGAUAUUAAUUGAACUUGAACACAUGUUGGCUGAUCAUAGUGCCAUCGAGUUGAGCUGACCAGUGCAUCCACGCACUUGCGUGUAUGGGAAGGCCUUAAUGUGGUCUAUUAUCAUGCCUCUCGCUAUUGCAUCCAACCAGGGAAGGUUAUCUGCACACACUACCUUGAUCAUGCAGGCAGCCAUGAGACUUGCGUUCCCAAGUUGUGUUGGACCCGAGUUUUCCCCGUUUGGGACUGUGUUUGUUUUUCCACGACGGUGACCAUUGGAUGUCUAGAGUGGCAUCCAGGCCACCCAUGACUUAGCCCAAACGGGAGUUUGUCGGAGUGACCGGGAGAGUGUCAUGCAAUAGAUUGGUUUUGUCGGAAUGUCGUUAGUCCACCCGAAUGGGAGCACGAGGCCUUGGGUUCCGUAGUGUGGGUACAGUGUACUAACCUCUACAGAGUGUGUAUAGUCUAUCGAUAGACGCGCCCGCGUGUAUGGGCCCUGUUCGUAGUAGGACACACUAUGAGUCAAAGUAAUAAUAACAUGCUUAAUAAACAACCCUGGUGCGAUUAUGAAAUAAGUUUAUUGAUCUUUAUGUGGUCGUGGGAGGGUCAGGAUGGUAUUCUUGAUAAUGAUAAGGUGAUCUUGUGAGGAUCACGAUGGUAUUCUUAAUUAUUUAUUGAUAUGAUCCCGUGAUGACCACGAUGGUAAGUAAGAGUGGCAUAUCUUUGGUGGUUACAAGUUAACCUCCGAACAGAGUAAGUUGCGACAUGAUAUUGUAAACAUGCUACAUGCUAGCAGCAUCUUUGUUCAUGCCUUGAGUAAUAUGUUCAUUCCAUCUGACGCUGUUCUAGCGGUAUUUUGUUCACCAUGUAUAUGCCAUGUUGCUCUAGUUGUAUAAUGUUCAUCAAUGCUUAAACAUGUAAAUGUCAUGCUAUUGUUUGUCUUGAUUGCUUUGGUUGUUGUGAGCUUGUGAGAACAUUCAAAGUUCUCACCUGGCGUGUCAUGCUAGUUUGGAGGUCAUGCCAUGAUUGAUUGUUGGUCGAGUUUGCAUGCUAGGAUAAGCGUUGGAGUCAGUCCCUCCGGAGUGGAGUCCAUCGCCUUCGUAGUUGUUCUGCUGCUUAGUUUUUUUCUGCUGCUAGUAUUGAGCUACCUAAGCACGCAUAGUGUCACCGUGCAAAUGUAAUUCGUUGUGAUAUGAGAACCUUUGUAAUCUGUAUCAUUUGUAAUAAAGAGCUGAUUUUUCUA